GAGGGAAAGUUGAAAAGUACUUUGAAGAGAGAGUUAAAUAGUACAUGAAACCGGUGGGGUGGAAACGGAAAGAGCUGACGUAUUCGGUUCGUAAUCAGCCGUCGAUGGCGUGCGACUAGUUGGUUUUUCGUCCGGCGAAUGUCGGUCGGCUUUCGGGUCGGCGGGCGUAUGUCGGGUGGGAGGCCGAUUGUGUCGUGCGUCUCGGCGGUGCAUUUACGGGCCAACGUGUGCCGAGGGGUGCGCGUCGAUCGCUUAACGCGUCGGGCUAGAGGAAACUCGUCUUUGGCGAGUGAAACCUGGCCCGUUGCCGAGGGCGCAUUCGGCGUGUGCUUUGUGGGUGUAUGCGAUGAACAUGGGUUUCUAUCUUGGGUAGCGGUCGUUGUUGUGGUUGCGGGUUAUGGCGGUCGCUUGCGACACGUGUAGCUCGUGGCGGCGGCGGCGGCCGGUCUUCGGCCCUACAUGUUCACCUCGGCAUAAAAGUCGGUCAUCUUUCCGACCCGUCUUGAAACACGGACCAAGGAGUUUAACGUAUGCGCGAGUCAUUGGGUGGUUGAAAACCUAAAGGCGUAAUGAAAGUAAAUGUGGACUUGACUCCACUGACAUGCGAUCCGGUUACGCUUCGGCGUACCGGCGCAGCAUGGCCCCGUUCCGAUCGCAUGCGAUGGGGCGGAGGUAGAGCGUAUGCGCUGAGACCCGAAAGAUGGUGAACUAUGCCUGAGCAGGACGAAGCCAGAGGAAACUCUGGUGGAAGUCCGAAGCGGUUCUGACGUGCAAAUCGAUCGUCUGACUUGGGUAUAGGGGCGAAAGACUAAUCGAACCAUCUAGUACCUGGUUCC
rnacentral:rRNA from 1 species